GUAGUCUCGCACAGAUGCAUAUCAAUAAGCGGAGGAAAAGAAACUAACAAGGAUUCCCCUAGUAACGGCGAGUGAAGCGGGAAGAGCUCAAAUUUGAAAUCUUAAAGGGUUUCCCUUUACGAAUUGUAGUUUAAAGAAGUGUUUUCUGUUGAGGUUUUGGUAAAAGUUCUUUGGAAUAGGACAUCAUAGAGGGUGAGAAUCCCGUAUUUGACCUUUACUUUCAACUUUGUGAUACACUUUCAAAGAGUCGGAUUGUUUGGGAAUGCAGUCCAAAAUGGGUGGUAAAUUUCAUCUAAAGCUAAAUAUUGGCGAGAGACCGAUAGCGAACAAGUACCGUGAGGGAAAGAUGAAAAGAACUUUGAAAAGAGAGUUAAACAGUACGUGAAAUUGUCAAAAGGGAAGCGUUUGACACCAGUGUUGUUUUUCUGAAAAUCAAUUAAAGAACUGUUUAUGCUAAGUUGUUUAGACUUUAUCAGCUAUCUGUUUAGUUAUGAGCUUUUCUUUAAUGCACUUUUCAGUUAACAAGUUAACAUCAAUUUCUUUUGCUGUAAAAAAGCUUGAGGAAGGUGGCUUGAGAUUCGUCUUAAGUGUUUAUAGCCUCUUGCCUAUGCAGUCGGAGAGAUUGAGGUCUGCAGCGUAGAUCCUUCGGGGCUAAAUGCAUUUGUGCUAAGUUAUAGCAUUUUAUAGACAACUUGUUGACUAUGAUUUGUCUUGUAGCUUACUCGCUUAUGUUAUUUUACCUACGCUUAGGAUGUUGACGCAUGAGAUAUACG
rnacentral:rRNA from 1 species